GAUGAACGCUAGCGGCAGGCUUAAUACAUGCAAGUCGAGGGGCAGCAUGACUGUAGCAAUACAGUUGAUGGCGACCGGCAAACGGGUGCGGAACACGUACAGAACCUUCCUUCGAGCGGGGAAUAGCCCAGAGAAAUUUGGAUUAAUACCCCAUAGUACAACGGAGUGGCAUCACUUUGUUGUUAAAGAUUUAUCACUUGAAGAUGGCUGUGCGGCUGAGUAGGUAGUUGGCGGGGUAACGGCCCACCAAGCCUGCGAUCAGUAACUGGUGUGAGAGCACGACCAGCCACACGGGCACUGAGACACGGGCCCGACUCCUACAGGAGGCAGCAGUAAGGAAUAUUGGUCAAUGGACGAAAGUCUGAACCAGCCAUGCCGCGUGGAGGAUGAAGGUCCUCUGGAUCGUAAACUUCUUUUAUAUGGGACGAAAAAAGGGUUUUCUAACUCGUCUGACGGUACCAUAUGAAUAAGCACCGGCUAACUCCGUGCCAGCAGCCGCCGUAAGAC
rnacentral:rRNA from 1 species